GAGCAAGAGGGUCCAGCUAACGAACGAACCGACGCCAAGUCUAGUACCGACCAGCGCCGCGACGCCUUGCAAUCCUCUCUCUCCCUGUGUCUCACCCCGUCGUCGUCGUCAUCGUCGUCUCGUGGCGCACAACAGGAAUCUUCGAUUCGUUGUUUCGCUACGUGCCGCUGCUGAUUACCAUCGGAUCAUCGUCACACGGUGAUGUCGUCACGAUGCGAUCGUUUUGCCCCUGGAAUGCUGGAACAUGGAAGUAGGAUGGGACGCGUGAACACCGUAGUGAGAGCGUACAGUGUGCACGGGCCAUAAUAGAUCAAUCGUUUAGGCGGGGGAAGAGUUUCACGGGGACACGGUGAAGUGUGAACGUAGCUUUAAGCUUGACACGGAACGGUGAUACCGUGACAGUGACGGAUGCCGAUGGGUUUUGGCGUUUCUUGGUUUUUCGUUGGUUUCGCUACCAGUUAGAUUGGGUGUGCAAGAGGAGGCUGACUCGGCUUUUUGCAAACGAGCUUCUGGCUCGUGGAGAUGGCGUUUUGUGAAUCUUCGGCGUUUGGGUGGAAACGGUCGUUUCUUUGUUGCCGUGACACGUUCCUUCAAUGAAUCGUUGUCUUUUGUCAGCGAGUUUUGCGAAUCGUUAUUUAAUCGUAAGAAUUAUCGUUUACGUUUGAUACGGUUACAAGUAUGGUCGAGAAUUAUCAGUUGCUGGUUGUGUGUAUUUUAACGUUCGACAAACAUACGUGACUGGCACGUGCUGUCAAUAUAAGAAAACCAAAUGAUUCUUACGCCUUUUAGUACGAAAAAUACUAGACUGUUCUAGUAUUUUAAGAAAUAUUAAUAGCUUUGUGGAAUUUCUAAGAUAUUCUUGAAAGGCAUACAUUUUAAAAAUAUUUCGAAGCAAAAGAUAUCGUCAUAAAUUAUCAACGCGCUUUUUAAUUUACUUUAAUAUUCGGAGACGUAACGAGUGACCUUUCUUCAUCUUGAAAAAUUCGUGAAACGCGUGCAGAAUGGCAAAGAACGCGUGCGGCUGGUUCGGGCCAGCAAGGCGACCGAUUAACUCGCUGUUAAUUAGUCGAUCCCUUGCUUCGAUAGCGUGAUUAACACCCGUCUGCCCUUUCCAGUGGCUUAGCCCCGCCCCGUACAAUGUAUUUCCUUCUUCGAGCACCGCCAUUUUGCCAGUUUACACCUCCCAAGAUCGUAAUCGAAGCUAAUUUCCGCGUGGUCACACGAAAAUUCUCAUUGCGUCCAACAAAGGAGAGAGAGGAAGAGGAACAAAGAACAACGAUGAUCGUACGAUUAUUCUUUCAAUGUUAUCCGUUCGUCGCAACAUUGUUAUUCUUUCAUUGGUAUUCGCUCGUCGCAACAUUGUUAUCUUUUUUUUAAUUUGCAUAUCCGUGCGCGACUUACUUUUCCCAUCUGAUACUUGCUGAUGCGUUCUAACUAGCCCUAAUAAUAUAAGGGUCCUAGUUACAUUUAUUUAUUUCAAGUUAUGUAAACUUAUGUCUUUCUCUUUCAAGGAAAAGAUUUUUCUCCUUUCUCUGUUAGCAAAUCUCUCGUUGUGUAUUUUUCUAUUUCCAUUCGACCUUUUCCCUGUGUAAAAAUAUAAAACUCUGAACUUUCUCCGCAUUCCUGUAAUUAUAAUUCAUCAAUAGUCUAAUAGGUAUGGACAUGGUUAAGUUUACACGUGAUCUGCUUAAUGCAAUAUCUAUAAAAAAGCUGCAUUUUUAGAGAAACUUUGUCCAAAUGAGAUAUUAAUUCGGUAUUACAGAAAUAUUGAUGACACGACUCGAUAUUUAGAGACCUAGCAGUAUAGCUCUAUAAUUCAUAAAAAUGUUCACUGAAGACCUACUUUUUCCAAUCUUCUAUUAAUCAAGAAAUUUUUUAAUCGAUCACGUAUAAAACUCUCUGCCCCUUUGCUUCCUAUUUCACCUUUCAACCCACAUUUCUUUCACUUUCUCAAACAAAUAUCUUCCCUUCUCGAUCUCCUCUCACCACUUUGUAUCUCCAAACUCCUCUGCAUCAUCUUCCAAUAUCGAUCUUCAUCGAACCACGUCGAUUAAACCGAUCCACGUUCUACCACACCAUCUCGACCCACCUUGAACCAUCACGAACUCACUAGAAAGCAUAUGACCUGAGCCAUGGCGAAGGAAACUGGCGAUUUUCCGUGGCAGCGGACGAAAUCACGAAACGCCCGGAGAAACGCGUAUUCUUUCAGACGUUCAAACGUCUCGGACCAGCACUUUGUUCCUCUCGAGCUGACAGAAUCGAAGAAGAAGCGAGCGGAGCGAGGCGGCCUCUCAGGAGAAAGCCAGUCGGCCCUACAGUCUCAUUUUAAUUAAACGAAAUUCCGCGUGCAACAAAGGGCGGCAAGCCAGCCGGAUAAUUCGAAAGGGCAGAUACGUGCUUCCUGGUUGGUCGGGUUUAUAGAGGCGAGUGGCAGCAGUGGCUGCUGCGAUGGUGGUGGCGUCUGCGAAGGAGGAGGGUGACGGAGGAUGGAACCGGUUCUAGCUUUUCCCCGGGGUAACUAGGUGGUGAAGAGGGACGCAGACAGUGGCGAGGAGGGAACGAGAUGGACAGAGACGACGGGAACCUGGCGAAAGAGGGCGAAAAAGGGAGAGGCAGAAAGAAAAGGAGGAAAGAGAGCGCGAGGGAGGAUGGAGCGAGAAAGAGGGAUGAGAGUGGGAUCGAUAAAGGGAGUGUCGGCAUGAGAAUGGGGCAGAAGGAACACAAGGGUGGCCCUUACCCUAAACGAGCACCUUAAGCGGCUAAACGUGACGUAAGACUACAGAAUGUAAUUAAACUGGAUUCUUCCGAUUCGACGGGACUUGUGUAAUGGAAAUGGACUUUAUGUUCCAUGCUACAGAAUGUAAAUGCCUUCGUGUAAGACUCUUCGAUUGACCAGAACCAGGCCAUCCAUUGAGUUCGCCGAUCUCACGAAGUUCCCUUGGCUCGUCUGAUCCUUGUCAGCCUUGUGACCUUGGCUUGCCAGCUAAGAGGUUUACCUUGGUAAACCCUGAUAUCUCGGCAUACCACUCGGGGUCUCGGUCGAGGGAUUAAGACAGGGUUGUUCGGCGAGACGACAGAGGGCCGGUGGAAUCGGCGCGAACAGGCUAGAACGCGAGAGACUGAGAGUGAAAGCGAGAUAAAGGCAGGGUAGUAGCCAAGAGAAAGGGAAAAGAGACUGUAACCGUACGCCCGUAUAAUUGAUUGAGUCUAAUGAGUUAAAGGGGAUACCAUGGUAUCGGGGUUGGAGGAAUUAAAGAGUUCUGGGUCAUGAAGGCGACAACCCCCGGGACAGAGAGAAAGUGCGGAAACUUAGGUACUCACGCCCCUCCUCCACUCUGGUCCUGGCUUUCUCUAUUGCUUCGCCCCUCGCGAGAACCGCCACGAGGGCGCUGAUUGUAAAUUAGUUAAAGGAGAUGCUUCAUUAGAAUCAGCUGAUUCUUAGAUUUUAACCGACAACAGAAUGGAAUAUUCUGGAAGUAUCAAGGGGAUGAUGGAUUGAUCGAGAAUUACGUACUUGGUUUCGUACGAUUUAUUUCCUUCUGAGGUUUUGCUGAAGAUUAACGAGACUGUAUAUAUACCGUUUUUAAUUCUUACGCAUCUUCCUUUUUUUACGAGAUUCUUCGAGUCACCCUUAGUCGGUUAGUUUAAAUGCAGUCUCGGUAUUUUAGACCGAUGAUUAUUAAAUGGAAAAGGUUCAUAUAGAAAAGUUUGUGACAUUUUCAGAUUUACUCUGUCAUUCUUCUUAAUACUUUAGACUCAUUUUUUUACUACUUUACGUAUCGGACAAGAGUAAUAAUUAAGUUUGACAAUGACCAGCUAAUUGAUUUUCUCCGAUUAACAGAUCAUAAAGAUUCUAAAUGAAAUUAAAAAAUAGGUAAUGUUGGGAAAAUUAAAUUGAAAGAAGCGGUAGAUUAGGCUUUCGUCUAAUUAUAAGCAUCGCUGGAAGUUAACCAGUAACGAUUUAAUUCGUCUUCUCAGACUAACACGUUGACAGGUGCAUUUUUACAUUUAUCUUGGUAUUGCAGAAGAUAACGCAGUAACAUUGCCAAGAACACGUCACACACAUAUUUCCAUACACUUGUCGCUAAUUACCGAGACCACAGUUGUUCAAUCCUCUCCGUGGUAUUUGCAUUCCUCCGCCAAAACGAUACGAGCAAAUUAUCAAAAAUGUAUACUCGGCGCGGCCGGGUCCGACGCAAUCUCAUUCUAUCUGCGCGAUAUUACUUUUCGGUCGCCGCGAAACAGUAUCUCGAGGACGUCUCGGCGUCGCGUCGCUGGCUUUUCAAUUUGCUCCUGUGGAGAAAAAAGGAGGCCGCGAAACGCGAACAAGGAAGCGUCCUCCGGUUGGAAAGGAGAUGGACCAAGAGAGAAGGCGGGCAAGAAAGAAGGCAAACCGCACACGAGAACCGCCACGGUAUCUUCCACAUCCCCCAGGGAAAUUAUUGACAGUCAGCGAGGAAAUGACGUCGUAAAUACCACGUCGGAGGUCCCCGAACCCUCUGGCCUCUACUCGCCGACCUCCCCUUCUACCAGGCGCCACCUUCUUGCGCUUCUUCUCGCGUAAUCCCAUUCCCCUUUUGUUUUCUUCGCGCCUCAGUCUAACCUUCCUUCCUCCUUACGCGAUCCGCUCUACAAUUGAUUCGAUACGUUACUUCUUUCUAAGCAUAUUUUUUACUCGGACUAACCAACUGAACGCGUUUCGCCUGUUUGACGCUUCAUUUUUUUCGGCUACCGGAAUUAGGGAUUUGGUGGUUUCGAUGUUUAUCGCGAGGAGUUUCGAAGUAAUAGAUGGAAAAGAGAGUUUUAACGAUAAAGAGAUUUUUGUAAGUUUGACUUGGUGCAAUGUUAUAAAAGCUUCUGACAUCGAAUUGCUCGAUUUGUUUCGGAAUAAUAUCUUGUACACUGAUCAGGCAAUCGAUCUUUUACCACUUUCCAAAUAUCGGUUUUUCUAAAGCUUCUCA